rnacentral:piRNA from 1 species
UAAUAGUCAUAACAUGAACGCAGCAGCCU